rnacentral:rRNA from 1 species
GACGAACGCUGGCGGCGUGCUUAACACAUGCAAGUCGAACGGUGAAGCGCCUUCCUUUUUGGUGGGUGUGGAUGAGUGGCGAACGGGUGAGUAACACGUGAGUAACCUGCCCCCUUCUUCUGGAUAACCGCAUGAAAGUGUGGCUAAUACGGGAUAUUCUGGGUCUGUCGCAUGAUGGGUCUGGGAAAGAUAUUGUUUCGGUGGGGGUUGGGCUCGCGGCCUAUCAGCUUGUUGGUGGGGUGAUGGCCUACCAAGGCGGUGACGGGUAGCCGGCCUGAGAGGGUGGACGGUCACACUGGGACUGAGACACGGCCCAGACUCCUACGGGAGGCAGCAGUGGGGAAUAUUGCACAAUGGGCGCAAGCCUGAUGCAGCGACGCCGCGUGAGGGAUGGAGGCCUUCGGGUUGUGAACCUCUUUCGCCAGUGAAGCAGGCCUGCCUCGUUUGUGGGUGGGUUGACGGUAGCUGGGUAAGAAGCGCCGGCUAACUACGUG